rnacentral:rRNA from 1 species
UGGGGAAUAUUGCACAAUGGGGGAAACCCUGAUGCAGCGACGCCGCGUGAGCGAAGAAGGCCUUCGGGUCGUAAAGCUCUUUUAUAUGGGAAGAUAAUGACGGUACCGUAAGAAAAAGCCCCGGCUAACUACGUGCCAGCAGCCGCGGUAAUACGUAGGGGGCUAGCGUUGUCCGGAAUCACUGGGCGUAAAGGGUUCGCAGGCGGCAAUGCAAGUCAGAUGUAAAAGGCAAAGGCUCAACCUUUGUAAGCAUCUGAAACUGUAUAGCUUGAGAAGUGUAGAGGCAAGUGGAAUUUUUAGUGUAGCGAUGAAAUGCGUAGAUAUUAAAAAGAAUACCGGUGGCGAAGGCGACUUGCUGGGCACAAUCUGACGAUGAGGAACGAAAGCGUGGGGAGCAAACAGG